CACACAAAACCUGAACUCCACAAAAAUACUCGCUCUCAGAUCGACCACUCUCACCCUCUCACCGAUCGCACAAAACCCUCACCGAUCGCACACACUCCCCUCACCGAUCUCACCGAUCCAACAAACUCCCCUCACCGAUCGCAGAUCCCCUCACCGAUCAUAGACAACCCUCACCGAUCGGCGAUUCUUUGUUUUCGUCGAAUCUCCGCCGUGAUUUCUGAUUUCGUGAUUCUUCACCGAUCGCAGAUCCAACAAACUCAUUUCGUGAUUUCUGAGAUCGAAAUUCGAAAACCCUAGCUUUCUCUCUCUCUCUCUCUCACAGCUGAAAAGUUGUAAUGGAAACCGGAAGUAGCAGCGAAGGCUCGCCGGAGCCAAAGAAAGGCAAAUCGAAAACCCCCAGAAAACCUAAGGCUAAGGAUCGCGUUCUCAAGCAGAAAUCUCCAGCUGAGUUCUUUGCGGAGAACAAGAAUAUUGCUGGAUUUGAUAAUCCUGGGAAAUGCCUUUACACGACAGUUAGAGAACUUGUUGAGAUAUUUGGAUAUUUGGGUUGAUGGGUCUGUUUUAAAUGCGCAUGUUUCUUGUUUGUUCUGAUUGAAACUUGAGAGUAUGUAUCUGUGUGUGUGUGUGUGUGUGAAGCUAUAUAUAGCUAUAUGUAUAGGACUGUGUAUACGGAUGUUCGGCUUGAUGGGAAAUGCUGAAAUUGUAAAAAGUUGUGAUUUUUUCUUCCUGUUUGUUCGGGUUGAUAGUUUGGAUUUCUCUGUGUGGGAUUGAAGGUGUUUAAUGAUAUAUGUAUAGGACUCUGCAUUUGGUAAUAUGGAGUGAUGGGUCUGUUGUAAAAAUGGUGAAUUUGUAUGAAGUUGUUAUUUUUUGUUUGUUUGUACUGGUUGAAAGUAUGUAUAUAUUUGUGUGUAUGUGAAGCUUUAUGUACAGGACUUUAUAUGUGGAUGAGUGGGUUGAUGGGUCGGUUGGAAAAGCGGUUAAUUUGGUAGAAAUUUUUGGUGUUUUUUUGUUGAAAGAUUUGAUAUUGGAUGUAAGUGUGUAGUGAUUGCUUUUU